rnacentral:misc_RNA from 1 species
UACACCGGUUGAAUUUGCGAUAGUGAGCUCGGCUUGCGCAUGGCUUUGAUAGUGAUCCUGAUAUUAGAGAACAAAACACUAGACACGUAGUUACUGGGCGCGCGUGGAGGACAAGAAACAUAUAUAAUGUCAACAAACGGUAUUCCUUUGAGUCACACGUUCAAGACCAAAGUCUUUAAAAGAGAUCGUUCCUGUGACUUUUGUAGACAAACCAUUAACAGGGAACAGGGAAGCUGCUGUAGAGUUUGCAAGUACACCUGCCACAAGGAAUGUGAAGUCAGGGUGAAGGAGGAGAAGAUUACACUCAAAGGGGGGAACGAAUUCUUCGAGAAGAUAACACAACAGUGUGAGACUGAAUGAUUGUUUCGGAUAUACGAGCAAAGCUACACAAGGGCUAUCUGCAUCGGUCGUCUCAGAUUUUUGAACUGAUAGAUGAGUGGGAAGGCAGUCAGUCAAGAACAGCUAACACCAACUAUUGCAUUACUCUAAUCGGAUAGCAGGAUUUGACUGUCAAUCCUUUAACGCAUCCACAGCUCCAGAGUGCGAGGUCGAUAUUUUUGCGUCAACAGAACAUGAACUAUGGAUUUUUGGACCCACAGUCUGAUACGUUAACCACUAGGCCACGCCCGGCUCCAACAGUGUGAAAACCGUAACUUUGUUUAAUGUGAAGCGAGCUUUUUAAAUAUUGUAAGUUGUGAAAGCUUGUUUAGAUGUUUUAUCUCGAGAAACAAGAUGUUUCAAACGCCAUAACACUAAACAAAAACAAAAUGCAAAAAAAAAAGUAUAGUGAUUUGGAUCUUUGACCUGUGUCAAUGGAAAAAGCACGUGUGGUAUGAUGUCCCAAUCAAAGGAAACUCAGAUACCUGUCUUGCAAAAAAGGUCAAGCUGUUACAAACCACAACACGAGAGCUAUACGACCUUUGAAAUAACUUGACCUAUAAAGCAUACAGACAUCCUAAGCUUUCUUUAUUAAGUAAAUGUGCUGGAGAGUAGAAAUUGUAUUGUAUGGCAAAAUAGAAAUAAUAGUGAUAUCAUAUUAAGUAAUAAAUGUUGAAAAAGGUAAAAUGUUGCUUUUUUUUCAUGUAGAAAAUUGUAUAUAGAAUUUAA